UUUCAACUCUGAUUUACAUGUAUGAUUUUUCCUCAAUCAGUAUCUGGAAGUGUAAUUAUUCUCAAAGACGCACACGCUCGCAUUACAACAGAGAUAUGUUUCCUUGUGAACAGUGCCAAAGGGGUUUGCAGAAUUAUAAUCAUUCCUGGUUUCGCUUAAUCCUUGGACCUAGCCUGCUUUUUCCAUCCCAUUUAUAUGGCCAAGUGUUUCCGAGUGCCAGCAAAAGGGAGGAGAAAGAAGUAUGGACUGAAAUGACAAGAAAAAAGGGAGUUAAAGAGCAGUUCGGAAAAUAUGGCUAAGGAAGGCAAGAAGUCUUGGAAUCGGAUGCAGGUUAAGAGGAGCAGCUGGAGAUUAGGACACAGAGAUGCAUUUCCCUUCCCCUCGCUGUUGUGCAGGAGAGUGAGUGGGCUAAACAAACACGUUAAAGCCAUAGUUCACCCAAAAAUAAACAAUUCUGUCAUCAUUUACUCACCCUCAUCUUGAUUCAAACAUGUUUGACUUUCUUUCCUCUGCAGAACACUAAAGAAGAUAUUCUGAAGAAUGUUUUGGUAACCAUUGACUU